GAUCCAUUAGCUCAGCUGGUUUAGAGCGGGCGACCUAUAAUCGCCAGGUCCGAUGUUCAAGCCAUCGAUGGAUCACCA
rnacentral:tRNA from 1 species